AUAGCACAGCAGAAGAGCCGGGGGGGGGGUUUUGAGUGGGCAAGGAGUUGUUCCUCGCGCAGGACGCGCAUUAACUCGACGAACACCAGCCCGCCCGCCGGCCCUCCCAAUCCCUAUCUAGCUCCUAGGGUUUGGCCCCUGCGUUCUCAGCUGUUGUAGGUGAUCCCUCCACCGUCCAGAUGUGACCCAACGGUGGAUGAAAGAGCCUGCCCCAUGGAUCGAGGGAUGUCACUCACCUAUAAAAAAGAGACUAGGGGGAAGCUUUCACGAGCCGUCCAUGGAGUCGCGAAGACGAAGAAACAGGAAGCUUAUCCUUUGAGGGGAAUGUUGUCUGGCUCGAGGUCACUGCUAGUCCUCCACCCUGCGUAAGAGAUCUCGGACCAGGCUUCAUUCCCCCCAGUCAUAGCUUCCAUCUCCGACACAUGAGGGUGUAGUACAUAUCGGAACGUUGCAGAUCUGCAAGACUCAUAACUCAUAGUUCUGUUUCUCUCUUUGCUGCUUGUUUUGCGUUGAGAUUUCCUCUCCCCCCGCCCCCCGCUCUCUCUCUCUCUCUCUCUCUCUCUAGAAAAGAUUUCCGUUUGCUCGCUCGUUGAUAGCUUUUCUUUUUGGUGUCAUGCGAUUAACGUCCGAGGACACAUGCGGAGCAGCAGAUUGGUGUAAUGAUGCUGGUUUUGACCGGAUCUUUUGCUUCUGAUCUCUUUUUGUUUCCUCGUGCUUCUUUUCUCCCUCUGACAGGAGGCUAAAAGGUUUUCCAUCAUUGUCUUAUGAUUACUCUCUGAAGGAUUCCUUCUUUUCUUUUUCAUUUGGCCCUUUAUUUUGGGGGGGGAAGAUAAUUCCUUUAUGCAUGGAUUUCAUGGAUCUUGUAGUUCAUCUCAAGAUCUUUUGAUGGUCAUUCGAAGAUCCUCCAUCGUUUUCUUUUUCGUUCUUCUCUUCUCCUGUGCGAAUCUCCACUUGGUGUUCUUUGUUAUGCCACGACAUAUCUUUUUCUCAUGAAAAUUUAUCGUCUCCAUCGUCUCCUUUAUGCACUGGAAACAUGCUCCGUUCACUUUCUUGAACAUGGACUAAUUUGUUCUUCAAUAUCACUUAGCUUCUCCUCUUGCUUUGCAAGCUCUAUUUUGAUUUUUUUUUUCCAUGAUCUAUCUGGUUGGAAUUGCAUAUAUGUUUAUUUGUCUAUGAAUUCUUCUAAAUCUUUUAAACUAUAAGAGAAACAGUUCUCAAGAAGUUUCCAAAAAGAUUUCAAGGGAAAAAUAAAUAUUUUAAUGCUCCCUUGUUGGAAAAACAACUGAGAAUAUGUGCCAAUAUUUCAUAUAGAAGAUUAUAGAAGAGUUCAUAUAAGAGACACUAAUCUCUUUCAAAGCCUUAUUUAUAAAGGAAAUAGAGCUUAACACUUACCUUCUAAUUUAGCUUGGACAUGUUAAAUUAGGAGUUCAUUUUGAGAAUAUGAUAUGAUAUUUAUUACAUAUGACAUGGUUUGUGAUAUAUGAAAUUGGCAAAGAGAUUCAGAUUGAGAGAUCAAAUAUUUUAGUUUAAUGCUACUUAUAUCCUGUAAACUAAUUAUCAAGGUCUAUCAUGUUUGCUCAAAAACAUUUUUCACAAUUUUGUCUAAGUUUUGCCAUGAAUUUAUGGUUUGACGACUCGUCGAAGAAUCGAAAAAUUGCUUUUUUAUCAGUACAGUUGAGAUAAUGAGAUUGGCUUAAUGAUGUUUGCAAAUCUGUUGCUGGAUUACUUGCACAUCUGCUUAUCAUUUUACUAUAAUCACAUCUAGUCCUACAUCGAGAUCGAUCAAUGGUAUAUCAUGUUUCACCAUGUUUAUAAGUUUCUUAAAGCUUGAUCUAUAUAUCCUUCACAGCAAGUAAUGUUUUCAUGCAUUUAUUUCCUUUUGUUGUCUAAUACCCGUGACUUCUUAGAUCACAAGGCAUUGUCAUCUUUGAUUCAUUUAUUACUGCCUCCAGCUGCAAGAGAGAGGAACACCAUUGCAAAAGCAGCAAGUAAAACAUGGAGAAAGACACCAUGGAAAAAGGUGCCACAAAGGGAAUGGCUGUUUACUUGCAGUGGAUGUGUAGAUCCUUCUUUUGAGUUUAUUAGGUUUAUAUCUACAAGUUUAAGGGUGUCUUACCUCUCAUCUUCUUCUUACGACACAGGUUUUGAGACACCCAUCAUCUGAACCUUUUUACCUCUUAAGCUAUUCCUUUUGUUAAAGUUCUUGGGAUGAGAAAUGAUAUGCCUUUUGAGCUUAGGGAUUGUAAGCUUUGAGUCUCGUGUCCA